CCGGGGGUGGGGGGUAGAGAUUAGUAUGCUUUAUUCUAAAGGUCUAUAGGAGGGAAUGUUGGCUCCAUAAAAAUUUGCAUGCAUAAAGUUCCAGCUUGUUGAUCUCAUAUAGAAGAAUAAUCAGAACCAUUAUGAGUAUGCCACUGUGCAACAGAGGAUUAUGAGUAUGCUACUGCACAACAGAGGACUGGAAUUGCAGUCGUGGGGUGCUUAGUGCACUAUCGGAGGCCUAGCACAGGGCUUUGCCUCAGGGACCACCAUAACCUAGCACCAAACCUGCAAGCUUCUGAAAGAGAAAAUAGUGACUAUGGAGAAAACAGAAUGCUGUGGGGGAGAGAAUGACUGUUAGAGGCCUGAGUGAGUGAGGAACCGAUACAUCAGCCGCAAAGAGAGAAGGAGUUCUGUCUGAGAAGCAAGAGGGAAGGUUCUGCUGGAACGGAGGUAGAUCUCCACCUUUUGAGCCUGCAGGAGACUGGGAGAUCCAGUCGCUGCACAGAGACUGACCUUAGGAGACGUCAUCUAAGCAGGAAAUUGUCAGCCAAGUCUCCUGCCUCUGAGGUGCCUGCCAUCAGAGGGGGGACGCCAGCAGCAGCCGCUGUGCCAAGACUGUGAACCAGCUGUGUUUGUGUCUGUGACUGUGUACUUAAAGAGAGGGUUGAAAAAUAAGAAAUAUAUGGACAAUGGGAUGAUAGUGUCUGUUAUCUGCCAAAUGUAUGAUAUGUGUUUGUUAUAUCAGAAGGUUCAUUACCAACAAAAGUACAUGUGAUAUUCCUGGGGUAUACUUUAUUUGUUCUUUAGCAACUGAUUUUCCAUAUUAGUGGUUAUUUACCCCAAUUCUGACUUCUUAGUCCCCAGAGAAAUCUAUUGCCUUUUGCAAAAGUUCCAAAAGGUCCACUCUUUUGAUUGGUUGAGAUCUAUAAGGUUUGAACACCCACCUGAGGAGGUACCAUAAAGUAAAGCUCACA